AAAUACAUGUGUCUGUGUGUUAGAUCUGCUCUCUUGUUCUGUACUGUAAUGCUUGACUUCGACUGUUGUAUUGUUUUUGUAAUGCUGCAGAAGAGCAAUUUAAUGAAAGAUGCCAAUGGUCCGCGACAACAUCCUGUCUGUCCUCAAGCACCUGGUGAUGUCAGAUGAACUGGCGGAUUCCUCAGAGUAUCGCCAUGGUAACAUGGUGUUCUUCGACCUGCUGGGAUUGAUGAUGGUGGCGUAUCCUGCUCACGUUGGCACCGUCAUCAACUACAUGGUGGCCGUCGCUGUGGUGAUCUACCUGGGAGGGAAAUGCUUGUUAACCAGCAGUGUGGGGUGUGUUUUGGCGCAUCACAUGAUCUGUGCAGCUGGCCGGUACAUGCGUGAUCUGGUGUGUGCGGUGUGUGUGCUGGUCUUGAGCUGGUUCUUCUCUCUGCUGAUGGUUCUGCUGGUGGCUUGGCUCGUCACGCUGAUGGGCCGCUCCAUGUUCUGGUACAGUCACCUAGACGCUGCCGUCUAUCUGUACGGAUCUGCCACUGUUGGCAUUCUCCUGCUGAUCCACACACUGGUUAAGAACCGCUGCUACAGGGAGCAUCUCUUCAGUACUCCAUCCUGUACCUGACGGGUCUUGCUGUGCCGUAUGUCUACAUCAUGUCCCUCAUCCGGGUGGUUUUUGAGGUCUUUACACCCAUUCAGGGUCGCAGCAAAGACAAAAUCCCACCCGACAUCAUCCUGGCAUCACUUGUUACCCUGGCAACCGUAAUUCUGUCUUCCUAUUUUAUUCAUUUCAUCUAUCUGUCCCACAGUACGAAGCGGGUCUUGGCUGUUCUGGGGUCAGUGUUCACGCUGAUGUUUGUUCUGGUCAGCUGUGGUUUGUUCUUCCCGUUUUCUGCCGAGCUGUCCAGCCCACGACCCAAACGCGUCUUUGUCCAGGUACAGGCAUCACUGAUCUGUCUUUACAGCAGGGUUUUUACACUACUGAAACUCAGACCAUAAAAUAUUCUCCUUACUUUAAGCUUUUUUUUUAAAUACGUUUUU